GGUGGGUACGGGCAGACUAGAGUGAUGUAGGGGAGACUGGAAUUCCUGGUGUAGCGGUGAAAUGCGCAGAUAUCAGGAGGAACACCGAUGGCGAAGGCAGGUCUCUGGGCAUUAACUGACGCUGAGGAGCGAAAGCAUGGGGAGCGAACAGGAUUAGAUACCCUGGUAGUCCAUGCCGUAAACGUUGGGCACUAGGUGUGGGGGACAUUCCACGUUUUCUGCGCCGUAGCUAACGCAUUAAGUGCCCCGCCUGGGGAGUACGGCCACAAGGCUAAAACUCAAAGGAAUUGACGGGGGCCCGCACAAGCGGCGGAGCAUGCGGAUUAAUUCGAUGCAACGCGAAGAACCUUACCAAGGCUUGACAUGAACCGGUAACGCCUGGAGACAGGUGCCCCGCUUGCGGUCGGUUUACAGGUGGUGCAUGGUUGUCGUCAGCUCGUGUCGUGAGAUGUUGGGUUAAGUCCCGCAACGAGCGCAACCCUCGUUCUAUGUUGCCAGCACGUGAUGGUGGGGACUCAUAGGAGACUGCCGGGAUCAACUCGGAGGAAGGUGGGGACGACGUCAAAUCAUCAUGCCCCUUAUGUCUUGGGCUUCACGCAUGCUACAAUGGCCGGUACAAAGGGUUGCGAUACUGUGAGGUGGAGCUAAUCCCAAAAAGCCGGUCUCAGUUCGGAUUGGGGUCUGCAACUCGACCCCAUGAAGUCGGAGUCGCUAGUAAUCGCAGAUCAGCAACGCUGCGGUGAAUACGUUCCCGGGCCUU
rnacentral:rRNA from 1 species